rnacentral:misc_RNA from 1 species
GUGAAUCAUCGAAUCUUUGAACGCAACUUGCGCUCCCUGGCAUUCCGGGGAGCAUGCCUGUUUCAGUAUCAGUUCAUGAUAAAAUCUUUUAUGAAUGAUCAUUUAUGAUCAUUCGUAUAAAUUUGUUAUUGAGUGUCUUUUUCUUACCAAAAAGUCAUUUAAAAGUCAUAAAAACGUUACUGGUGUAAUAUCAUAUAUCACCUCGAUCGUUAUAAAUAUAAAUAAAAUUCUUACGAAUUUUAUUUACAUCAUGAUCUGAAAUCAGGCAAGAUUACCCGCUGAACUUAAGCAUAUCAAUAA